rnacentral:rRNA from 1 species
GUCUACGGCCAUGCCCCCCUGAACGGGCCUGACCUCGUCUGAUCUCGGAAGCUAAGCAGGGUCGGGCCUUGUUAGUACUUGGAUGGGAGACCACCUAGGAAGACCAAGUAUAAAAA